AACCCAAUUCAACAACCGCCGUCGUGGCCAUCUUUUGCUCCAACCAAAGCAGUUUUGUUUUCUCUUACAUUCAGAAGCUGCAAAUCAAACGAACAAGUGGAAACCUGAUCAAUCCUCUCACGAUUUGCUCUAAUUCAUCUCAAGUGUUUAUGUUUACUUGUAUAUAUGGGCGAGUAAUAAGAGAUUAAGAAACAGUAUACUAGAAUCUCUAACUGAAGGCGAAUAUCUCCGAAAAUAAGAUUGCGAUGGGAGCAUCGCGGGCACAAAAGCUAUCCGGUAUUCAAAAGCAAGUUCUCUCAUUAUACAGAGGAUUUCUUAGAACCGCGCGUUCCAAAACUCCUGAAAACCGGGUCCACAUUGAAUCACUCGUAUCAGCCGAGUUUCGUAGAAAUGCGCAAUCGAUUGAUCGCAAGAAUUUCUUACAUAUCGAGUAUUUGCUUCGUCGUGGUAAGAAACAACUUGAUCAACUCAAAACCGUUGAUUCUGUUCGGUUAUCUUCAUCAAAUGUAGAAAUUUCUGAUACUCAAAAACAAUAAUCUGGUUGAUUCUGUUAGGUUAUAUGAUUUCGUCUAACGUUUGAUCAUAUUCGGCUGUUGUUUAAUGGAGGUUUGAUUAUCUCCUAUAAUAAGUUUAGAGAAAGCGUACCCUUGUGAUUAUUGAGCUGUUUUAUUUGGGGUUAAAUAUGUAACUUUUUUUAAUUCAAAACAUGAAGUUAUUU
rnacentral:lncRNA from 1 species